CAUGCAGGCGGUCGGACGCGUUUUGUGUGACAGCGGGUGGCUUAACUACCCGAGUAUGCGAAAGACGGUUUGACUUGAGGGCUCGAGAGGGACACGGAAUUCCGGGUGGAGUGGUGAAAUGCGUAGAGAUCCGGAGGAACACCGAAGGCGAAGGCAGUGUCCUGGCGAGUGAUUGACGCUGAGGUGCGAAAGCUAGGGGAGCGAACG
rnacentral:rRNA from 1 species